rnacentral:lncRNA from 1 species
AGAGUUGUUCAGGUGUUUUGGGACAGGUAUAGCUGUGUAGAGUGUUUCAGUGUUGGGACCGUAUAGCUGUGUAGAGUGUUCAGUGUUGGGACAGUUAUAGCUGUGUAGAGGUUCAGUGUUUGGGACAGUUAUAGCUGUGUAGCUAGGGUUCAGUGUUUGGCGACAGUAUAGCUGUGUAGAGUGUUCAGUGUUUGGGACAGGUAUAGCUUGUGUAGAGUGUUCAGUGUGUUUGGGACAGGUAUAGCUUGUGUAGAGGGUUCAGUGUUUGGGACAGGUUUAGCUUUGUGUAGAGUGUUCAGUGUUUGGGACAGGUAUAGCUUGUUGUUGUCGCAGUGUUCAGUGUGUUGGGACAGGUAUAGCUGUGUAGAGUUUUCAGUUGUU